rnacentral:RNase_P_RNA from 1 species
CGGUCCGGAUAAUUGCUGGCAUUAGCUAGAGGAAAGUCCAUGCUCGCACAGACUGUGAUGUCUGUAGUGAUUACGCUAGUAGAAAAAAUAAUACUAGGGAUGCAGGAGUGCAUUACGGCGAUCGGAUGCCUAA